CUCUUCCUCCACACACACACACACACACACACUUUUUGACUGUCCACCACGACUAUGGAUUGCCUGUGGCUGGCGGAAAAGGGGAGGGGGUGCGCGCGUCUACCUACUCGUGCGCAGUGCUGUUCGAGGUCGCAAGUGUAGGGAUGUCCGAUCGGUAUGCACGUCCACGAAAAUAGGAAACUCGCCAGCCACGAUGCGUUGGGAGGAUCGAUUUCGACCGCGUCAGGCACAUAUUUUGCGACAUCACACACAAACACACACUGUGUCUCCCCUGCUUCUAUUGUUUGCCCUUUCGCCGUCGCACGCGAUGUGCGGGCUUGUGCGUGUGUGCUGCGCACGUGGGCCGUGCCUCGGUUCUCCUCUCUCUUUGUCUGUCUGUCUAUCGGUCUGCCAUGCCGCUGUUCAGUGAUCAGCGCAGAAGACCCCCCACCCUCACCCAAACCCAUUUUUCUUCUUCUUCCUGCGAGGAGCACGCGGUACGUGUGCGGGUGUGUUGGCCGCCCUCUUCUCUCAUUGUG
rnacentral:misc_RNA from 1 species